GAGUAAUGCUUGGGAACAUGCCUUGAGGUGGGGGACAACAGUUGGAAACGACUGCUAAUACCGCAUAAUGUCUACGGACCAAAGGGGGCUUCGGCUCUCGCCUUUAGAUUGGCCCAAGUGGGAUUAGCUAGUUGGUGAGGUAAUGGCUCACCAAGGCGACGAUCCCUAGCUGGUUUGAGAGGAUGAUCAGCCACACUGGGACUGAGACACGGCCCAGACUCCUACGGGAGGCAGCAGUGGGGAAUAUUGCACAAUGGGCGCAAGCCUGAUGCAGCCAUGCCGCGUGUGUGAAGAAGGCCUUCGGGUUGUAAAGCACUUUCAGUCAGGAGGAAAGCGUGGUGGUUAAUACCCAUCAUGUGUGACGUUACUGACAGAAGAAGCACCGGCUAACUCCGUGCCAGCAGCCGCGGUAAUACGGAGGGUGCGAGCGUUAAUCGGAAUUACUGGGCGUAAAGCGUACGCAGGCGGUUUGUUAAGCGAGAUGUGAAAGCCCCGGGCUCAACCUGGGGAACUGCAUUUC
rnacentral:rRNA from 1 species